rnacentral:tRNA from 1 species
UAAAUAAGAAGCAAUAAAUUGCAUAUAGUUUCGGCCUAUAAGUUUGAUAUUAAAAUAUCCUUAUUU